GAGAGAUGUCCGAGUGGUUUAAGGAGCUGGUCUUGAAAUCCAGUGACGCGGCAACGCGCCGUGGGUUCGAAUCCCACUCUCUCC
rnacentral:tRNA from 1 species